CCAGACUCCUACGGGAGGCAGCAGUGGGGGAUAUUGCACAAUGGGGGAAACCCUGAUGCAGCGACGCCGCGUGUGGGAAGACGGUCCUCUGGAUUGUAAACCACUGUCCCCAGGGACGAAAAUGACGGUACCUGGGGAGGAAGCUCCGGCUAACUACGUGCCAGCAGCCGCGGUAAUACGGAGGAUGCGAGCGUUAUCCGGAUUUAUUGGGUUUAAAGGGUGCGUAGGCGGUCCGGAAAGUCAGCGGUAAAACCCGGGGGCCCACCCCCGGCGAGCCGUUGAAACUGUCGGACUAGAGACGGCGAGAAGUACGCGGAAUGCGCGGUGUAGCGGUGAAAUGCAUAGAUAUCGCGCAGAACUCCGAUUGCGAAGGCAGCGUACCGGCGCCGGACUGACGCUGAGGCACGAAAGCGUGGGUAUCGAACAGGAUUAGAUACCCGCGUAU
rnacentral:rRNA from 1 species